rnacentral:rRNA from 1 species
GAUGAACGCUGGCGGCGUGCUUAACACAUGCAAGUCGAACGGAAAGGCUCCUGCUUGCAGGGGUACUCGAGUGGCGAACGGGUGAGUAACACGUGGGGGAUCUGCCCUGCACUUCGGGGUAAGCCUGGGAAAAUGGGGCUAAUACCGGGUAGGGCCACAUUUUGGAUGGGGUGGUGGGAAGGUUUUCGGUGUGGGAUGAGCUCGCGGCCUAUCAGCGUGUUGGUGGGGUAAUGGCCUACCAAGGCGUCGACGGGUAGCCGGCCUGAGAGGGUGUACGGCCACAUUGGGACUGAGAUACGGCCCAGACUCCUACGGGAGGCAGCAGUGGGGAAUAUUGCACAAUGGGCGCAAGCCUGAUGCAGCGACGCCGCGUGGGGGAUGACGGCCUUCGGGUUGUAAACUCCUUUCGCUAGGGACGAAGCGUUUUUGUGACGGUACCUGGAGAAGAAGCACCGGCUAACUACGUG